UACGUAGGGCGCAAGCGUUGUCCGGAAUUAUUGGGCGUAAAGAGCUCGUAGGCGGUCUGUUACGUCCGCUGUGAAAACCCAGGGCUUAACCCUGGGCUUGCAGUGGAUACGGGUAGACUAGAGGCAGGUAGGGGAGAAUGGAAUUCCCGGUGUAGCGGUGAAAUGCGCAGAUAUCAGGAGGAACACCGGUGGCGAAGGCGGUUCUCUGGGCCUUACCUGACGCUGAGACGCGAAAGCGUGGGGAGCGAACAGG
rnacentral:rRNA from 1 species